AGUGUUUGUGGAAAAAAGUGCGAAAAUGGUGUGACGCUGCUAACGCUGUGAUGGAAAUUCACAAUUUUUGGUGUAAAAAAGCAUUGUUAUGUUUUUUUUUCUUCUUCCCGGACUGUAAAACAACACCAAAGUACUCCGGAAAAUACUUAAUAUCAUACAGGCAGCGGCAUCAGCUGCGCUCAAUCACCAUCAACUUCUUCCAUACAAAGUGAUGAAGACAAAUCCUAAAUAUGCCGCCCUCCAGUUACUGUUGAGGUGAAGAAGGAAGAUGUUGAAGUUGCUGCGAUGCAGCAACCGGAAGCAGCUGUUCAGGAGAAUGGUGUACAAAAGCAGGAGGGUUAAAAGCAAAAUCCGGAGCAACAGAAGCAGCAAGGUGAGGUAAUAAAGAGCGUAAUAAAGUGAAGGAAGCUGCCCAGGAGGUUGUUGAAAGGCUCUCUCUCUGUACCUGAGAUGCAGAGAGAAAAAGCCAAACUGGCUGUUAUGUCAGUUUUGAAGGAACAGAGAAGGAGCGAAUAGUUGUCUUCCAUCGUGUUAUCACGAUGGAAGAUCACGAUUGAGAAGAACCUCCAGGAAUUGGGUGAGCAGCAAACAAUUCUGGACAAUUUCUUCUCUAAGGAUGGUUGUCGAUUACGUCAGGACUAUUCUCUACACCAUCGUGUGAGGAGUGUCACCUUUUAACGUUUCCUGGCGGAACAGUGCUUCGACAUGACAAAGUUGCAGGACAUCUGGGGGAAGGACAAACUCUAUGGUAUCAAAGUGGCCGUUGCGGGGCUACAGGAACUCAAGGAGGAUGACAAGAAGGACCUAAUGGAUCUCCUUGAUUGUCAUUUUGAUCCGGAGAAGCAGAUAAUUAAGCCAGUGUCCCGGAAGACUAACAAGUGGCGCUUUCAGAAGAGACAAACUUCGAGAAUUUCAACAAUAAUCAACAGAGAAGCAAUCAGCAGAAUCACAAUGGUGAAAACCAUCAGGAUAACAACAAGAACUAUCAGCAUGGCAACAAUCAUUUGAGUGGUCGCACCAGGGGUAAAUUAAUUAAUUAUUUGUAGAAAAAAAAAAGAUCUCUGGGUAUUUUAAAGAAACAGAAAAGAAUCUUUUAAGUAUAUUUAAUUUAUUAAUUUGUUAAAAAAGGAUCUUUUUCUUCUUUUAAGAAUUCUUGAAUUAAAAAAGAUUUUUUCUGUGUAAAGAAUUUAGGGUAUCUCGAAAGAGAAAGAAAAGAAUCUUUUAAAAAAAUUUAAUUAAUUAAUUUGUUGAAAGAAUGAAUGAAUGAAUAAUGGUUUAAAGAAAAAAAUCUUAAAAAUCUUAAAAGGAAGUGAAAAAAAUUCCUUUAAGAAUAAUUAAUUAAUUUUUUAGGAAAAAAAGAUUUUUUUCUUUAAAGAAUACUUGAAUUAAAAAUGAUUUUUUUCUCUGUGAAGAAUUUUUGAUAUUUUGAAGGAAAAAGAAAAGAAUUCUUAAAUUAAUUUGUUAAGAAAGAUUUUUUUCCUUUAAAAGAAUUCUUGUAUAAAAAAUGAUUCAUUUUCUUAAAAACUUUUGGGUUAAUUGAAGGAGAUAGAAUUCCUAAAUUAAUUUGUUAAGAAAGAUCUUUCUCUUAAGAAUUUUUGGGUUAUUCGAAGGAGAAAGAAUUCUUGAAUUCAUUUGUUAAGAAAGGUCUUUUCGUUAUAUAGAACUUUUGAGUCUUUUGAAGGAGAUAGAAAACUUGAAUUAAUUUGUGAAGAAAGAUUUUUUUCUUCUUAAGAACUUUUGGGUUAUUUAAAGGAGAUAGAAUUCUUAAAUUAAUUUGUUAUGAAAGAUCUUUUUCUUAUAAAGAACUUUUGGGUUAUUUGAAAGAGAAAGAAUUUUUUGAAUUAAUUUGUUAAGAAAAAUCUUUUUCCUUUUAAAGAAUUCUUUUAUUAAAAAUGAUUCAUUUUUUUUCUUAAGAACUUUUGGGUUAUUUGACGGAGAAAGAAUUUUUUGAAUUAAUUUAUUAGGAAAUAUCUUUCUCUUCUUAAGAACUUUUGGGUUAUUUGAAGGAAAUAGAAAACUUGAAUUAAUUUGUGAAGAAAGAUCUUUUUCUUAUUAAGAACUUUUGGGUUAUUUGAAGGAGAAAGAUUUUUUUGAAUUAAUUUAUUAGGAAAGAUCUUUCUCUUCUUAAGAACUUUUGGGUUAUUUGAAGGAAAUAGAAAACUUGAAUUAAUUUGUGAAGAAAGAUCUUUUUCUUAUUAAGAACUUUUGGGUUAUUUAAAGGAGAAAGAUUUUUUUGAAUUAAUUUGUUAGGAAAGAUCUUUCUCUUCUUAAGAACUUUUGGGUUAUAUGACAGAGAAAGAAUUCUUGAAUUAAUUUGUUAAGAAAAAUCUUUUUCCUUUUAAAGAAUUCUUUUAUUAAAAAUGAUUCAUUUUUUUUCUUAAGAACUUUUGGGUUAUUUGAAGGAGAAAGAAUUUUUUGAAUUAAUUUAUUAGGAAAUAUCUUUCUCUUCUUAAGAACUUUUGGGUUAUUUGAAGGAAAUAGAAAACUUGAAUUAAUUUGUGAAGAAAGAUCUUUUUCUUAUUAAGAACUUUUGGGUUAUUUGAAGGAGAAAGAUUUUUUUGAAUUAAUUUAUUAGGAAAGAACUUUCUCUUCUUAAGAACUUUUGGGUUAUUUGAAGGAAAUAGAAAACUUGAAUUAAUUUGUGAAGAAAGAUCUUUUUCUUAUUAAGAACUUUUGGGUUAUUUAAAGGAGAAAGAUUUUUUUGAAUUAAUUUGUUAGGAAAGAUCUUUCUCUUCUUAAGAACUUUUGGGUUAUAUGACAGAGAAAGAAUUCUUGAAUUAAUUUGUUAAGAAAAAUCAUUUUCCUUUUAAAAAAUUCUUGUAUUAAAAAUGAUUCAUUUUCUUCUUAAGAACGUUUUGGUUAUUUGAAGGAAAUAAAAAACUUGAAUUAAUUUGUUAAGAAAAA